UGGCGGCGUGCCUAAUACAUGCAAGUCGAACGAGUUCUGAUUAUUGAAAGGUGCUUGCAUCUUGAUUUAAUUUUGAACGAGUGGCGGACGGGUGAGUAACACGUGGGUAACCUGCCCUUAAGUGGGGGAUAACAUUUGGAAACAGAUGCUAAUACCGCAUAAAUCCAAAAACCGCAUGGUUCUUGGCUGAAAGAUGGCGUAAGCUAUCGCUUUUGGAUGGACCCGCGGCGUAUUAGCUAGUUGGUGAGGUAACGGCUCACCAAGGCAAUGAUACGUAGCCGAACUGAGAGGUUGAUCGGCCACAUUGGGACUGAGACACGGCCCAAACUCCUACGGGAGGCAGCAGUAGGGAAUCUUCCACAAUGGACGCAAGUCUGAUGGAGCAACGCCGCGUGAGUGAAGAAGGCUUUCGGGUCGUAAAACUCUGUUGUUGGAGAAGAAUGGUCGGCAGAGUAACUGUUGUCGGCGUGACGGUAUCCAACCAGAAAGCCACGGCUAACUACGUGCCAGCAGCCGCGGUAAUACGUAGGUGGCAAGCGUUAUCCGGAUUUAUUGGGCGUAAAGCGAGCGCAGGCGGUUUUUUAAGUCUGAUGUGAAAGCCCUCGGCUUAACCGAGGAAGUGCAUCGGAAACUGGGAAACUUGAGUGCAGAAGAGGACAGUGGAACUCCAUGUGUAGCGGUGAAAUGCGUAGAUAUAUGGAAGAACACCAGUGGCGAAGGCGGCUGUCUGGUCUGUAACUGACGCUGAGGCUCGAAAGCAUGGGUAGCGAACAGGAUUAGAUACCCUGGUAGUCCAUGCCGUAAACGAUGAAUGCUAGGUGUUGGAGGGUUUCCGCCCUUCAGUGCCGCAGCUAACGCAUUAAGCAUUCCGCCUGGGGAGUACGACCGCAAGGUUGAAACUCAAAGGAAUUGACGGGGGCCCGCACAAGCGGUGGAGCAUGUGGUUUAAUUCGAAGCAACGCGAAGAACCUUACCAGGUCUUGACAUCUUUUGAUCACCUGAGAGAUCAGGUUUCCCCUUCGGGGGCAAAAUGACAGGUGGUGCAUGGUUGUCGUCAGCUCGUGUCGUGAGAUGUUGGGUUAAGUCCCGCAACGAGCGCAACCCUUAUGACUAGUUGCCAGCAUUUAGUUGGGCACUCUAGUAAGACUGCCGGUGACAAACCGGAGGAAGGUGGGGAUGACGUCAAAUCAUCAUGCCCCUUAUGACCUGGGCUACACACGUGCUACAAUGGAUGGUACAACGAGUUGCGAGACCGCGAGGUCAAGCUAAUCUCUUAAAGCCAUUCUCAGUUCGGACUGUAGGCUGCAACUCGCCUACACGAAGUCGGAAUCGCUAGUAAUCGCGGAUCAGCACGCCGCGGUGAAUACGUUCCCGGGCCUUGUACACACCGCCCGUCACACCAUGAGAGUUUGUAACACCCGAAGCCGGUGGCGUAACCCUUUUAGGGAGCGAGCCGUCUAAGGUGGGACAAAUGAUUAGGGUGAAGUC
rnacentral:rRNA from 1 species